rnacentral:misc_RNA from 1 species
AAACACGAUCAUCUUCGAUCAUCGUCUGUUCGUCGCAUAUCAACGUCUGACUCGAAUCAGAACAUAAAUCUCGUGAAAGGAGCCAUUCAAGAACCAUUCCAUCUCAACCAGGGUCAACCUUGUUAAUUGAAGACACUCGAAUUUCUCCUAAUCGAAUAUUCGAUUCCGUCUCUCCUCCAAUUUCACCCGACUAACGAGGAAGAAAACGUUCGCAUCCUGCCACUUGUGCUUGCACAAGGACCAAGAAGAUCACGGACGGGAUCCCGCGGAUCAGGCGGGAAAAAACGAGAAAAUGGUGGCUCGCGUGGUUUCUCGACUGUGGGGUGAGAAGUAGAGGGGCGUCUUCAGGGUUUGGCGGUAGUGACAAUGCCAGUUCCUCGCGGGCGAGUUUGAGUCGAAGGCGACUAUCGAGUGAGAGGAGCUGCCAGCCCUGGCUCAUCGUGUAGUGCCUAGUGAAACGAGAUGACGGGCUCGCGGCUGAGACGGCCCGCGUACUUCGUGGGCCUCUUCCUGGCCCUUCUAGUCGCCGCCUUACAGGGAGUGCAAAGCGAAGAAGAACUAGAGGUGCCGCCAGAGGAUCUGUGUCGACCUUACAUUGAGAAGGCAUUGAAAGACCUCGGUACAGGGUCUUUGGAGCAGACCAGUGCCGAGGUUGGGACCGACGUCGAUAAAGAAAGUCAAGAAGAAGAAGGGAAACCUGCGAGCAAAGAAGAGCCAGAAACUGAAGCUUCGAAGGAAGACGCAGAAGAGUCGGUAGAAACCAGAGCUGAGGAAAGCGUCGAACAAGCUGAAGAAGAGGCAGAAAAAGCAUCCGCGGAAGCUGAACAGAGCAUUGAAAAAGAACAAAGUGCCGAAGCGGAUGAAACGAAAGGUGAAGAAGAAGAGAAAUCUGGAGAAGUAGAUAAAGGAGCCGAGGAAGAAAAGGAAGAAUCUGCCGAGCAAGCGGAAGAGCAUGCUACGGAUUCCGGCCAGGAAGAAACUGAAGAGACGAAGGAGGAGAAAUCUGGCGAAGGAGCGCAAGCGGACGAAGGAAAAUCCGAGGAAGAAACGCGAGGAGAUGCUGAAAAAUCCAAAGAGGAAGAUGCCGAUAAAUCCGAUAUAGAAAUUGGAGAGGACGAAGGGAAAUCCGACGAAAAGUCGCAGGCUGACGAUGGAAAAUCCGACGAAGCCCAGGCCGAUGGAGAAUCGGCCGAAGAACCGAAAAUCGACGAGGAGAAAUCCGACGAAGAAGCCAAAACCGAGGAAAUAAAGUCUGACGAAGAGAAAGAGAGAAUCGAAGACGAGGCGACUGAUUCGAAGGCGGAAGAAGAGACGGAGAAAGUUGCUUCUAAGGAGGAGGAUGAAAAGGAGGGGGAUAGCAAGGCGGAAGAGGAGGGUCAAUCCGCAGAGCAACAAGCGAGCGAGGACGAAACGAAGGAAGAGAACAAAGAAAGUGUCGAGGAUCAAAUAGAAGGAACUAAAGAAAGCGAAGAAGCUAAGUCGGCGGAAGAGACUGCAAAAUCGGCAGAGCAACAGGAAGAAGGAACUGAAGAAGAGAAGGAAGGAGAAGAGAAAGAAGGGGACAAAUCCGCGGAUGUGGAAGGAAAAUCCGUAGAAGAGGCAGAAUCAAAGGAGGAAGAAGCUGAGAAAUCAAAAUCUCGUGCUAGACGAGAAGCUGGCGAAGAAGAAGGAGGAGGAGGUGAGGAGGAUGCUGAAGGCUCGAAAGAAAGAGAGCAAAGCGAGGAAGAAGAACCUACUCCCGAGGAAGACUUGAUCAGAGAAAUAGUGAUACCGGAAAAUUUGCGGCCGCGUGAACAUAUUAAUCAGCUGUUGAAAUUGGACGAGGAAAAUGAAGAGAAGGAGCGAGCCAUCCAGAAAAUCGCGGAUAUUGUGUUGAAGGAGCUGAAGAGGGUAUAUGACAAUGCCAUCCAGCCAUUAGAAUCUCUGUAUAAAUACAGAGACUUGAGCAACAGACACUUUGGUGAUCCAGAAAUAUUUUCCAAGCCACUAGUUCUUUUCAUGGGUCCGUGGAGCGGUGGAAAAUCUUCAAUUAUAAAUUAUUUACUCGAUAUCGAAUACAAGCAGACAUCGUUAAGGACAGGUGGUUUGAGAGAGUGCUUAGAGGAGAAAUGCAAAACGCCAAAUGGAAAUGACACAGGAGCCGAGCCAUCUCCAGCCUACUUCAAUAUUAUAAUGCACGGAGAGGAAGAGGAGAUCCUCGAUGGCACGCAGCUCGCCGCUGACUGGACUUUCUCCGGAUUACAAAAAUUCGGCCAAGGAUUGCUCGAUCGUCUGAAGGGUUUACGACUCGAUAAUAAGUUAUUAGAAAAAGUGAAUAUUGUCGAGAUACCAGGAAUCUUGGAAAUUCGUAAACAAGUCCAACGUUUAUUCCCAUUUAAUGAUGCGUGUCAAUGGUUCAUUGACCGUGCAGACAUAAUAUUUUUAGUAUACGAUCCAUCAAAGUUGGAUGUUGGGCCAGAAACAGAAGCGAUUCUUGAUCAAUUGAAAGGAAGGGAGCAUCAGACACGCAUCAUUCUUAACAAAGCUGACCAAGUAAAACCGGAGGAACUCAUGAGAGUGCAAGGUGCUCUGAUCUGGAAUAUAUCUCCGCUAAUGUCUAGCGCUGAACCACCGAUCAUGUAUUCCACAUCAUUGUGGUCAAUCCCGUAUGAAGCUGGUGCACCUACCAGGUUAUUGUAUGCUCAGGAACGUGCAUUUUUACGCGAUUUGCGUACUGCCAUUGAUAAACAAGUCGAGCAUAAGAUAGCAAGCGCCCGGAGAUUCGCUGUACGAGUGCGCAAUCAUGCUAAAAUGGUAGACUGCUAUCUAACCACAUACUACAAUCACAAGACAUUCUUUGGGAACAAAAAGGAAAUCAGUGACAAGAUUAUUGAGAAUCCACAAGAUUAUCAUAUCUACGAGGGUUUGAGUACACUGAAAAACAUAUCACGAUAUGACUUGCCCGAUCCGGAUGUCUAUCGAGAUUUUUUCCGGUUGAAUCCUCUCUAUGAUUUCCCUCUGUUAAGCUCUACGUGCACGUAUUUCCGUGGAUGUCCAAUCAAUAGACUCGACGUUGCCAUUGCUUAUGAUUUACCAGAGCUCGUAGGCAAAUAUAAGAAAUCAGUUGAGCAAAUUAUACACGAAUACGAAACAAGUCCUCCUAGUUGAGUGUAAUCCUACAUUCUGAAAUAGCUCUUGAUGCCGUAUGAGGUAUGAGGUGAGAGCAAAUUGUACAAAACAAAAAUGCGAAUGAGUGAAAAGAAGCGAACAUUAGUAUGAAAAUCCAAGUGGAUAUUAAAUUAAGAGAAGAGAAACCUAAUUCUCCUGGAAUCACGCUUUGCGCAAUAUAUUAAAUAGUUUAUUUAAAGAAGAGACAUUGUUUCGAGGUAUGAAGAUAUACUAUUGGUUUUGUAGGUAAACAACAUGGAUAUUGGUGACAUUAUGAGGCAAAUGCUUGGUUAAUAGUACGCUUAACAAAUGUUUAAGUGUAUUAGUGGAUUGAAUUAAAGAUUUCAAGAUAUAUACUUGUGUUUGGAAAAUAGGACAAGUGUUACCAUUCCAAUCUAAAAAAAGAAUAGUGAGUUUCCCUUGAAUGUGUUUAAGUACACCUAGAAUCACACAGUUAUGGAAAACAUAUCACAAUAAUGGUGGGUCCUAUUAUCUAAUACAUGAAUAUAAAAAUUGAAGAAUACAGUGAACUCGCACAAUAGACUUUUUGAAACUUAGUGUAAUGGUUGUGUAAUUGUAAUAAAAUACUGUGACACUUUCAGCCAGAACAACAUAUGAUGAAAGCAGUUACAUAUUAUAAGUAUGUAAAAUAAAAUACAUAAAAAUAUUUCCACUAAGAAAGAGAUAAGAAUGAUCUCUUUUUGAAGCUUUUGUGAAAUACCUUGUAUAAACAAAUUGUGUUCUUAUUAAAAGUUAUAAAUAUUUAUUUAAAA